GUGUGUAUGCAUGUGUGUAUGUGUGCGUGCGUGUGUGCGUCUACGUGUGUGUGUUCAUGUUUGUAUGUGGAUGUGUGUGCAUAUGUAUGUGUGUGCAUGUGUGUGUCUCUGUGUAUGUGCGUGCGCGUGUGUAUGCAUGUGUGUAUGUGUGCGUGCGUGUGUGCGUCUACGUGUGUGUGUUCAUGCGUGUAUGUGGAUGUGUGUGCAUAUGUAUGUGUGUGCAUGUGUGUGUCUCUGUGUAUGUGUGUGUGGAGUGUGUCUGUGUAUGUGUGUAUCUGUGUAUGUGUAUCUGUGUGUGUGUCUGUAUGUGUCUGUAUGUGUGUCUGUGUGUGGGGGGUGUAUGUGUGUGUAUGUGUGUAUAUGUGUCUGUGUGUGUAUGUCUCUGUAUCGGUAUGUGUGUUUGUGUAUGUGUAUAUCUGUAUGUGUGUGUGUCUGUGUCUGUGUGUGCAUGUGUGUCUGUGUGUCUGUGUCUGUGUAUGUGUGUGUCUGUGUAUAUCUGUGUGUGUGUCUGUAUGUGUGUGUAUCUGUAUGUGUGUGUGUGUCUGUGUGUGUGUAUAUCUGUGUGUGUGUCUGUAUGUGUGUGUAUCUGUAUGUGUGUGUGUCUGUGUGUGUAUGUGUAUAUCUGUGUGUGUCUGUAUGUGUGUAUCUGUAUGUGUGUGUGUCUGUGUGUGUAUGUGUAUAUCUGUGUGUGUCUGUAUGUGUGUGUAUCUGUAUGUGUGUGUCUGUGUGUCUGUCUGUGUGUGUCUGUGUGUGUAUGUGUAUGUAUGUGUGUGUCUGUGCAUGUGUGUCUGUGUGUGUAUAUCUGUGUGUGUAUAUGUAUGUGUGUCUGUGUGUGCAUGUGUGUAUGUGUAUACCUGUAUGUGUGUGUGUGUCUGUGUGUAGCACUCACUGGCUCCCUAUUGCCGUAGAAAUAAAUCCAAGCUCCUCUCUCUUCCCGCAAGGCUCUGUACAAACCUUCCACUUUUCUCCUUCAUAAUCUUUUUUUAAUGUUUAUUUGUUUAUUUUGUUUGUUUUGUUUUGAGACGGAGUCUCACUCUGUCUCCAGGCUGGAGUGCAAUGGCGCGAUCUCGGCUCACUGCAACCUGCGCCUCCUGGGUUCAGGCAAUUCUCCUGCCUCAGCCUCCCGAGCAGCUGGGACAACAGGCACGCGCCACCGUGCCCGGAUAGUUUCUUGUACUUUUAGUAGAGAUGGGGUUUCACCACGUUGGCCAGGCUGGUCUCAAACUCCUGACCUCGGGAUCCUCCCGCCUCAGCCUCCCAACGUGCUGGGAUGACAGGCACGAGCCGCUGCACCCGGCCAGCCAGCUUCAUGGUCUCAGCUCUGGUCAUUUUCACC
rnacentral:lncRNA from 13 species